GUUUAAAUUAGAAUGCAAUAGUACCUGGACAUAAUUUAUCAUUUCAGAGAGAAGAAAACUAUGUGACUUUAAAAGAAAACCAGUGAGAAAAAAUCAUAGAAAAUGUAUGAUGAUUCAGGAUGUGGUCAUUCGUGACAUUAAAACAGGAAUAGUCAUCACCAAUAGACGAAUUUCACUUUCCUAAGAGUUUUCUCCAAUUGUCGGCGUAUCGCUCAUUUUUCCCACUUGUCCUUUGUCCUGUUAUAUGGAUGCCCUAAGACAGUGUCUACCCAUCACUCCAUCUGAUAUCACUUGUUCUGUGCAUAUUUCUCUCUCAAACUUAAACUACAGAGAGCCUGUGGAUAGAGGAUGAAGAGUGACCUUGGACUAAUUUUCUAGGUCAAAGGUCAGUAUCAAAAUCUACUGUAUAUCUUUAUUUAAAAUCGUAGUCCAGAGUAUAUUUCUCCCCUGGUGUAAUCUAGCUUUUGUGCAAUGGGGUGGAGGGUCUGCAAUGAUCUUCAACCAAUUUCUAGGUCGAAUAUCAAAAUUUAAAAAAAAAAUCUCUCCCUAAUAUUUUUGUUAUUAUAAAAAGUAUGUUUUCUCUCAAACUAAUCAAACUUAAAGCAGGGUUCUUAGUAUGAGAUACAUGUAGUAAUAUAUUCUCAAUGACAUAAUAAGGCUGAAAACAUUAUUUAUAUUAUGUUAU